rnacentral:tRNA from 1 species
GGAUAUAUAGUUCAAGGGUAGGGCAUUUGCCUACCAUGCAAGAGGCUCUAGGUUCAAUUUUUAGUAUCA